rnacentral:rRNA from 1 species
UACGGGGGGAGCAAGCGUUGUUCGGAUUUAUUGGGCGUAAAGCGCGCGCAGGCGGUCCUUUAAGUCUGAUGUGAAAUCUUGCGGCUCAACCGCAAGCGGUCAUUGGAAACUGGGGGACUUGAGUACAGAAGAGGAAAGCGGAAUUCCACGUGUAGCGGUGAAAUGCGUAGAGAUGUGGAGGAACACCAGUGGCGAAGGCGGCUUUCUGGUCUGUAACUGACGCUGAGGCGCGAAAGCGUGGGGAGCAAACAGG